rnacentral:rRNA from 1 species
AGUUGAUCAUGGCUCAGGAUGAACGCUGGCGGUAUGCCUUACACAUGCAAGUCGUACGAGAGUUUUUAACUCAAGUGGCGGACGGGUGAGUAACACGUAAGAAUUUGCCUUUAGGAGGGGGAUAACAACUGGAAACGGUUGCUAAUACCCCAUAUGCUUUCGAGUGAAAUGGAUUUUCCGCCUAAAGAGAAGCUUGCGGCUGAUUAGCUUGUUGGUGAGGUAAGAGCUCACCAAGCGACGAUCAGUAUCUGGUUUGAGAGGACGAUCAGACACACUGGAACUGAGACACGGUCCAGACUCCUACGGGAGGCAGCAGUGGGGAAUUUUCCGCAAUGGGCGAAAGCCUGACGGAGCAAUACCGCGUGAGGGAUGACUGCCUAUGGGUUGUAAACCUCUUUUUUCAGGAGGAACAAAAUGACGUGUACCUGAAGAAUAAGCAUCGGCUAACUCCGUGCCAGCAGCCGCGGUAAGACGGAGGAUGCAAGUGUUAUCCGGAAUCACUGGGCGUAAAGCGUCUGUAGGUGGUCAAAUAAGUCAACUGUUAAAUCUUGAGGCUUAACCUCGAAAUCGCAGUCGAAACUAUUAGACUAGAGUAUAGUAGGGGUAAAGGGAAUUUCCAGUGGAGCGGUGAAAUGCGUAGAGAUUGGAAAGAACACCGAUGGCGAAGGCACUUUACUGGGCUAUUACUAACACUCAGAGACGAAGCUAGUUAGCAAAAUGGGAUUAGAUACCAGUAGUCCUAGCUGUAAACAUGAUACUA